rnacentral:misc_RNA from 1 species
UGGCUCUGGCAUCGAUGAAGAACGCAGCGAAAUGCGAUAAGUAAUGCGAAUUGCAGAAUUCAGUGAAUCAUCGAAUCUUUGAACGCACAUUGCGCCCGCCAGCACUCUGGCGGGCAUGCCUGUUCGAGCGUCAUGACCACCCCUCAGGCCUCCGCCUGGCGUUGGGGCCCUGCGCGGCAGGCCCCGAAGGACAGCGGCGGCCGCGCCCCGAGACGGAACGCAGUAGUGCAUCUCGUUCCCCCUCCCGGCGCGCGCUGGCCACAGAACCCACCACGUAUCGUGUUUGACCUCGGAUCAGGUAGGAAUACCCGCUGA